GCCGGCUUAGCUCAGCUGGUAGAGCAGCGGUUUUGUAAACCGUUGGUCGGCGGUUCGAGUCCGUCAGCCGGCACCA
rnacentral:tRNA from 1 species